CUAAACAACGCCUAUAAUUCCUAUGCCCGGCCAGGUAUGAAAUUCCAAAUAUAUAUGAAUACCUAGCCUGAGUAUCAGGCCUUCAAUGAGAAUGAAUACCUGAUGUAUUGAUGCAUUCACUGAUACAAAUUGACCUGCGAAACUUGAACAGCGAACAGAAUAAUUAGAGAGAGAAACGACGCUGCCUUCGAUUUGACUUGAACCCACGAAGCAGACAGGAAGUACAGUAUAAGAGUGCAUUAAUGCAUUCAUAAUAUAACAGGUAUCCUAAUCCCUGUUCAAGAAACAGCUGACUUCAGGGUUGUGACGUUUUACCUGAAACAAUUAAGAAAUUUAGGAAAGAUCCUUACCUGACGAAGAAAUGACAACUGUAUUUUUGUUAAGAGCUCUGAAAGUCCAAGACGUGUUGGGUUACCUGUGGUGUCCUAAACCAUGAUGCAACGCGGCAUAAUAACAUUACGUCACAGUGUUUACAAACGAAGCACAACAAUAACAAGACAAAAAAAUAUCUCAUGAAAAACAUGCUGGAACUUUAAACAAGUGAUAAAUAUGUUUUCUAUCAUAAAGAGGCUAGGACAGGUAUGCUAUGUCGGCUUUCCCUCCCAUGUGGAGCUUCAGAAAGGACUUCACUGCAGUUGUGAAGCUGCGAAGUAGAUGGUGAGCAAGAUAUUUAUAGUUAAUUACUUUGGAAAUACUUUUGUUGAAUAAAUACACGAUAACAAUA